ensembl:lncRNA
AUUUGCUUUCCAUUUUUCAGAGGCUGCUUUAAAGACAGGCUAAAUUAUUAACCAGAGGCACUAACAUUUGGAAAACAAAAAGCUCAAGGACGUACAUACAGUAGCUCUAAACCUGCAGUGGUGUGGGGGAUGUUUCUUGACUGAUAUUGGAAGUGUAGAAUUAGCAUAAUCAGCAGUCAUUACUCCAGAGUCUCUGGACUCUUUGAUACUCUUGCUGUGAGCAGAAUGUGCUUCAACAUGCUGUGUUCCACUCAUUGAGAAAAUGAAAGAUUUGAAGAGACUGUGGAUUAAUGAUCUCCAGUUGGCCAGUUUCACUUGUGUAGGUAACAGCAGAUGGCAGAAGAGGGGCAGUCUGACAAAAUGGUGUCUGACAUGGAAGUGCGGAUGAAGCAAAGGUGUGUCACUGACUUCCUUCAUGUGGAAAAAAUGCCACCCACUGACAUUCAUCAGUGCUUGCUGAAUGCUUAUGGAGACCAAAAAGUGGAGAGCAUGUUCCCUAGCCUCACAGACCUCAGAUCUGUAGUUGAAGCACUGGAGCUGAAACCGUAUCAUUGGCACUGGGACAACUAGGCUGGACUUGGAUAAUUCCGGAAUCCUCACUGCAAGACCUGAUACAUCUUCUCAGAUGGGACAGUUAAGCAGUUUCACUAUUACUUGCUCUCCUUCUUCCCUAUUCCCCUGUGGUUGAUUCACACAAAAAUAAAUUAUCUUCAUCAGCUAUACUUUUCAUGCACAGCUCUUGGUCUAGGCUGCUGGUUUAAAAGAUCUGAAUUAAAAUCUAUUUACUUCCAGUGUCACGUUGAAAUACUGGUUUAUUUGCAGGAAAUGUUUCAUUUUGUUUUUCUUUUAGGAUUCUUUUUUCUUUCACUUCCUUUAUUUUAAGAUAUAUUUUACCACUUCCUAUUUCAGCCUUUGUAUAAGUACUUGUUGAUAAUCUAUUAUUUUUUCUAAUUAUAUUUUUAUAUCUCCUUUAUUCAGUGUACUGCUGAAGGAAAAGCAGAACAAUAAUGAAAGUAAAUGAGCUAUAUGGUUGAGAUGAAAAUUAAAUAGCCUUUCUGAAUUUGUCAGUUUUCUACAUAGUUUUUAUUUGAGAGUUUAUUAUAAAUGCAACCAUGCUGAAUUGAAGUUGUAAAGACUUGUUCUGCCUUUCCCUACUUCCUUUGUGCUUGCUUUUGUGGCUGUGGUGAAGCAUGAAGUAUUCAAUUUAAUAAUUACAUUUAAAAGAAAGUUAAUUAUACAAAGCUGCUCUGUGCCACAUCCACAUAAAUACAUUUAGUUGUCAAAUUUGCUGAAAUUUGAAUCUCCCUGGAAGAGCGUUAGUAUUACAAUUUCGCACACUUCAACAGCAGCUAUGUAAAUACUCAACUCUGAAAUCAAAUGCUAAUUUUUCCCAAGGAUUAGAUAAGUCAUGUAGCUAAUAUUUUUGUUGACUUUUAUCCCAAUAAGAUUUGCACUGUCCUACUUAUAAUGUGAAAAAAUAGAUUUCUGGUUAGGACACUUGGCAAUCACGGGGAUGUUGCAGUUCAGAUCCAGUUGUUGAUGUGUUCUCAUACAUUUUCAGUCACAUCAUGUUUUUAAAACAUGCUCAGUCAUAUUUUUAGGAUAUGUUGAUUUUUUUUUGUGUUUGGAGGUGAAGACAAUAUUUUACACAGUCAUAUAUACUGUAAGCUGCUAAAUAGCAUAUCCUUUUAAUGUGACAAAUAUCUAUACUGUUAGCUAACAUGGACAGUGCAAUCUCAUUGUGGGAGUUAAGUGAUGAGAUGAAAUAGCCCAUGAUCUUGGAAAUGUGGGUUACAGUUUCUUAGGUAUUACAGACUAUAUCACUAAUGAAGCAAUUUGUUCUGUGUCCACUCACAUUUCAUUUGCUGCCAUCAACAAUUAAGAGAUGUCGUAGUAAGGUCAUCGUAGAUUAACACCUUGUCUUUGCAAAGAUCUCAUUAAAAUAGAGAGGAAUUCUAAUUCCUAGCCAAGAUAAUGUUAAUUUGAUGAGAGAAUAAAUAUUGUGGAAGCAAUUUGUGCAAGAGAAAUGAAUGUUAAAAGUAUUAUUCUCUUUUCAAUAAAAGAAGUAAUUCUUACAUGGAAAGAUAGCCUAUUGAAAAAAAUAGUCAGACAUGUUACUGCAGGAAAUGGUUAGAUACCUUGGCCUGGUUAAGGAAGCAUGUCAUGUUGUCCGAGAUUUGCACAGAUGUGCAGAGCCAUAAAUAAAUUGAACAGAAAAUAAGAUUUCUCCCUUUGCUGGUUGCCAGUGUUACAGUUAAACUACAAAGAAAGUAAUUUCUCCAACCAUCAUACAUUUACUUCCCAGUCAUCCUCGAAUGCUUGUAACAGUGAAGGGCGUUGUAAUUGACAUUUCAUUCUAAUACACUGGCUGCCUUGCCUGAAUUUUGGCUGGUUGAUAAGGCUCUUGGAAAUCCAGAGUCUCAUCAUGUCCUGAACAAUUUCAAUCCAGCCCUAUGGCAAUCUAAGUGCUUAACCAGCAAAACAGGAAAGACAAUAUUUGGAGAUGCUACCUUUCAAAAUGCACACAGCAGAGUAACUGAAAUAAUCAAAUUGCUCCUGAAUAAUCCUUUUUCAAAUUUGAAAGCAGAAUGAAGAAAAGAUUUAAAAGAAUAUACAUGUCAAUUUAAGCAAAUAAAAUGUGCAGACAUGAAUUCAUCACAACUGUAUUGUCACUGACGUUGCAUUUCAGAUAAAUUUGAUGAUAAUAUCACAUUUUUUUAAAGGAGGAAAAAAAUCAAUAAUUUUGUCUACAGACUUUGCAUUAUAUUCCAGUUACUUGAAAGAAAAUGUCAUGUGCAUCAACUCAUUCUUCAGGAUGUACUUUCUGAAAAGAUGUGGAUAAUAUUACAUAGACUAAGGUAUUGAUCUCUCAAGUUCUUCAGAAAUGAAGUGUCAUGUCUUUCAACUUGUUCUUCUUUGCGAUUCCAUCAUAUUUUCAUUCAUAUGGGCUUCUUUUCUUGAAAAUGUAUUACUUACAUGAUGAGCUUUACUUCAUUCUAAGUCUCUGAAAAAUGCUCAUUUUUCACAGCUUCCUUUUUCUGUAAUUGUAUGUGCUUUGUAUCAGAAGUUUAAACAGAAGUUUAUCUGACACAAUAAUUAUGCAGAUGCAAAGAUUUUUGUACUUGAUUUAUAUAAAUGCUGUGAGGUUUGAAUUUGUUUCUUUUCCUUUUUCUUUUUUUCCUUCUCUCUGUCUUUUUUUUUUUUUUUUUUUUCUUUUUUUCCCCUUGUUGCAGUGUAUGGAAAUCUAUGCUGAUCUUGUCAAUAAUGGCUUAUCCACUGGACAGAUGAAAGUUGUAUUUCUGCAAAAGACAUUUUAUUUUAUUUUUUUGUCUGUGGCACCUCAGUGUAGAAUUUUCACAUUUUUUUUUUCUGUUGUUGCUGCUCUUAUUGAGCAAAUAAAGAGGGAUCACACAAGGUCAUCUCUUUCCUGAAACAAGAAAUAAUAAAUUAUUGUAAUCACUAAAACACAGAAACUGAAAAUAACCCUGCCUACCAAAUUCCCAGAGCCAAAUUUACUCCCCAGGUAUGCAUUGCUAAGUCAGGUUGGUAAAGCAUCUUAAAAAUCAAGCUGUGGAGCUGAAUGUAGAGUGAGGGUUUCUCAGAGGCUCUGUGUAGUUUGCCACUAACCUGAACGUCUGGAAACUCUAACACUGAAGAUCCCUGUUCAUGAGCACAGCUCAGAAUCAGUGAGUUGAGCAGAGUAAUGGCUUUUCCAGCUCAAUCUUCUAUUGGUCCCUGAGAAUAAGAGCUGCUAGUAACUAAAGAUCAUAUCACAGAAUCACAGAAUCAUAGAAUGGCCUGAGUUGAAAAGGACCUCAAAGAUCAUUUAGUUACAACCCCCCUGCUAUGUGCAGGGUUGCCAACCACUAGACCAGGCUGCCCAGAGACACCGUCCAGUCCAUUCUCUGGCAGCAAGGUCAAAACAGGUGUAAAACUGUCUGUAAGUGUAACAUUCAGCUCCUGCUCUGCAAGCAGAUUUGGUGAUGUUCUUUUACGCAUCCAAACCCCUGAACUGUGCCCAGGAAUCAUUUGAGAGCAUGCUAAUUCAUCCAGACUAGAACAAGGCUAGGGCUGAUAGUAAAGGUAACCAAGAUCAACUGCCUGGGGAAAGGUUCUCUGGCUUUGUAUAAUGUAGGAGUACAUAGACAGCACUGAAACUUUAGCACUUUAGCUCCCAUAUGGAGUCACACUUAGAAAUCUGGAAGCAAAAUGAUUUUGAUUAUUCUGAAAUUAUGUUUCUAUUAUUUUGCCCCAGUGAGUAAUUUACAAAAUUAAAGUGUGCUUAAUUCUAAAAAUCUAAUAUAGUCACUUUGCUACUAGUGAGAAUAUCAUCACUCUGUCUCUAAUUUAGUCUUGUAACUUUUGAGUCACCUUCAUCUCACGUUUCCAUAAGGGACAGAUUAUGUCUACAUUUUGUUAAAAGCUUAACACAUGAUAAACAUUUGCAGGGGAACACAGCUACGUUUGAGCUGCUUUAAGGCAAUGGUCCAUGUGCAUGCCCUACCAUGUGGAACCCUGUUGAGAAUCAGUUUAUUCAGGUGAGCAUAUUCUUCCCCGAAACACAAGUCAAUAGAUCAUAUUUAUUGUGGAGCUUUGUAGGGAAGGAAAUGCAUACAGUAUGAUGGAAAAACUGAUAUUUGGUAACUUCUUUUCUUCUCCUUGUGGCAAUUUUAUUCGUAUGUUUAUUUGAUACCUGUGAAAUUAACUCUCCAUAUUCUCCCAUGUGGUAUUGUCCAGAGUCUCCUGUGACUCAUAUUUUCUUCUCUGGUCUCCUUGUGUAUUGUAUAAAUAAUUUUUCUCCUCUUUAAAGGCUCUCCAUAGCCAUCUCAAUCCUAUCUAUCAACUAUCUGACACUGUUGUCAAUUUAUGUGUCUGGUUGGCUUGCUGUAAUUAAAUAAUCACUUUCUUCUUAAUCAUUUUUAAGGAGCUACCUAUAAAUAUUGGCACUUUUUUUCAAUAGUAAAAAUCAAAAUAUUUUUUAAGAGUGUUAUUUGCUAUGGCAUCCAUGAAAAACUAUAUCAGCCAAGGACCAUAUUGUACUGGGAUCAUUUAUGUGUCAUAAUGGUCUUAUCUUUUCCUUGUAUCUCCCCUCCCAAUGAACUAGAAUGUAGUUAUCUAGCCAUGUGUGUCAAACAACAGUGUGAUUAUUACUGAACAGGGGCAUUAUUUUUGUUCUGCGUUCAUACAGCCUGUGAAACAAUAGAGAUAUCACUGAGCUGUUACUUCUUUUUUUUUUCCAUAUGUGCAUGAAAAACACAGCGUUCUGUGGUAAUUUUGAUGGCAAACAGCAUACAAAGAAAAGCUUACUUUCAGAACAACACGCCCCCCAGAACAAACAAUUUAUAAAACUAAGCAACUUCUCUGCCACUUGCAAGAGUCCAAAGCAUCUGUCUACAUCUGCCUUGGGCACUGGAAAAAAGGCCCAGGGUAGUGAUUAUGGCACCAAGCCUUCCAGAAUUCAAGAAGCAUUUGGACAACAUCUUCAGACAUAGGGUUUGAAUUUUGAGUUGUCCUGUGUGAAGCCAGGAGUUGGACUUGAUGAUCCUUGUGGAUCCCUUCCAACUCAGGAUAUUCUACCAUUCUAUGAUUCUAUGUUGUUUUGAAUUUUGCCUGGUGCAGAUUAUACAUUCUUCAGCACACUAAGGCAAACAGUUUGGGAAAUUCUGUUUAAAGCAGCUUAAUUGGCCUAAUUCUCCAGAACUUGGAUUGCAAAGGGGUGUUCUCAGCCUACAGUCAUCUGGAAGCUAUAGCUUAUCUCAAAGAUAAAACUAGGUUGGUUCUUACUGUGUUUGAUAUAUGUGUAAAACUACAUACAUAUACACAGAUGUACAUGUAUGCAGACAAUACAUCUGUGGCAGCAUGCUCCUUCAUUUCUGUUCUCUGAAGUACUGAAUCAGAAUGUGAAAAAUAAAUUUGCUUUUGGGUUAUUAUCAUCUCUAACUAAUCUAAAUCAGUUUCAGAUUAACCCAUUUUCUCCCCAAGGUAAAAUUAGACACCAAAUUUCAGCAUGAGAAUCAAUAGUCCACUACUGACUUGCCUUUAAAUUGCAAUAUUCUAGGUAUCAUUACUUUAAAUUUUCUUUAUCACAUUCAUAAAUUUGCAUUUUCAUAAAGUUCCAUAAAAUAUGAUAAUAACAGUAAUAAUAGUGAACAGAUUGAGGGACACAUACAGAUACAAAAAAUCGUGGAAGUGAAGCAGUGUCAAGGAAAAUAAUUUGCUGCAAUGGUAGGAGAUUGUCAACUUUCACACAGGAAGUCAUUAAAUUUUUUCUCUUUUGAAUUAUAAUUUUGGCACUUUCAUAUAGCAGCAAGGUAAUAGAUUUUCAUUAUCCAGAGUGCAAAAACAUUGGCUGUGGAAAAAGCAACAGAGCUCAGAUUAAUAGGAGAUGACAAGCUGACCAAAGAGGAAGUGGCAGCAUGGCUGGCACCAUGGCUCAGUGGUUGUGACAGGCAAUUAGUGAACAGAGCAGAACAGAUGUAACAGAAGGCAGCAACAAUUUACUGAAGCAUUAGCUUGCUCACUCUGUAGUACAGAGCACUGAUAGUUUGCUGAUACGAAUAAAUACUAAUAUGAUCUCGGGAGGUGAAAAGAGGUAGUGUGCACAGUCAUCUUACAAAUUAAAAAAAAAAUCAACAAAUAAAGCAAUAACAAGAAAAACAUUACAAACAAACAAAUAAACCAAGCAACCACCAUGACUAGCAACAAAAGUAACUACUCAAAACCAAACCAAACCAAAAACUAGAAACAAGAUCAAGUAGAUGCAAGAGAAAAAAGACCAGCCUUAUGUCCUUUUCAAGACUUGAUUGAGAAUCUUGCUUCAGUACUAGAUUGCAGCAUGCUUGAAAAGAGAUCAUACAGCAGAGAACUUGCAACAGUGUGUUCAUUUUUCACAGUACUUAAAGAGAAAGCACAGUGUUUGUUUUUGUUGUAUUUCUUGCUGUUGUACUAGGAGAGGCUUACAUUAACAAAGCUCCUUGAUGUUGCUGCUGGUUGGCGGAGAAUAGGAGAAUGGGAGAUCUUUGUGAUUACAAUGUUACCUUGCUGAAUUUAAAACCCAAACAAACAUAACACCUUCCUUGUUAUUUCUAUUUAAGACCACAUGUAUCUAGUAUUAUGCAAAAUUAUAUUAAUUUACUUCAGAGAACUUCUAGGCCUCAGUUGUCUUAUGUCUCAAAGGACUAAGUGAGCCAUAUGUUCAGGAAAGUUGGGAUUGAAUAAGUUAUACUUGUUAUACUAUACAAGCGUUGUUAUGAUAUUCCUAAACAUAGUGAUGAAGCUAUUAUAUUGCUGUUAACUGUAGAGAAUACAUCAUCAUUCCAUAAAUUGGCAUAAAAUUUAUAUAAUGGGAGCAUAUGUUAGUUAGAAUUGGAAAAGAAAAAGGCCAGUCCUGUGUGUAUAGUCCAUAGAAUCACUAUUAACAUCUUUUACUGACAGUUAACAAUAAUUUGCUCUAUUCCCAUGAAGAUCUGGCACUUACUUGUAAAGUAAUACAAAUUAAAACCAAUCGAACCUUGAAUAAGUUUCACCUUUUUUGCUAAGGACUGGACUUAAGGAUCAAUUCCAUACCACCAGGUGAAUCUUAAUAAUAAUUUUAAUGGUUCCAGAUAAAAAAUAGUUCUAUUUUACUGUAGUUGUUCAUCCCUCACCAAGACAGCACCUUUUGUAAUAAUACAUGAUUUGGUACCAUCCACUCCGGAUCAUGACAAAUUUGGAAUUCAAAAAGUCAUGGAAAGUGAAGGCGCUGCAUGAGUCAAGAGGAUAUCCUCAGUUUCUGGCUCCAGUUGACUACAGGAAUGAUUUCUGAUAACGACUCACUGGUUCUGGAUGAGUUUUUCCAUGAGGGAGAUCAUAUCCCAUCUCAUCCCAUCCUACCCUACCCUACCCUACCCUACCCUACCCUACCCUACCCUACCCUACCCUACCCUAUCCUAUCCCAUCCUACCCUAUCCCAUCCCAUCCCAUCCUAUCCUAUCCUAUCCUAUCCUAUCCCAUCCCAUCCCAUCCCAUCCCAUCCUAUCCUAUCCUAUCCUAUCCUAUCCUAUCCUAUCCUAUCCUAUCCUAUCCUAUCCUAUCCUAUCCCAUCCCAUCCCAUCCCAUCCCAUCCCAUCCCACCCCACCCCACCCCACCCCACCCCAUCCCAUCCCAUCCCAUCCCAUCCCAUCCCAUCCUAUCCUAUCCUAUCCUAUCCUAUCCUAUCCUAUCCUAUCCUAUCCUAUCCUAUCCUAUCCUAUCCUAUCCUACAUCUUAACUCUCUCUCAUCUCCAAAGACUGGUGCUUGGAUGCAACUAAAGGAAAAAAUGAUUGCCAUAUAUGUUUUCCCUGAGGAAAAAAAUGAUGUGUCAGAAUCAUAAAAUGUGAAUACUUGAGAAAUAUGGUUUUAUUGUGAUUUUAUUAAGGAAGACAAGGAUUGAUGUAAACUAACACAAAAUUCUUUCAAUCAAAUUCUAACAUGAUGAAACUCUGAAGUUUUUCUUUAAAAUUGGAAGAAUCAUAUUAAUUUGACUGAAGCACUCUUGUUUGUUUUUAGUAUGUGUAUAUUUAAGAGAAAAAAAAAGAUUCAAUCUGAGAGAAUUAAGUUUUCUCUACUUAUGUAAAUGAAUUGCUAAUUCAGUUCACUUAAAAGUGCAGUUACAAGCUGAGGGGAAGAGAAUGCAGAAGAGAGGGCACUUUAGAAAAUGGCUUAAUGAGAGAAAAAAAAAACAGAAAAAAAAAGAAGGAAAUUGGAAAAAUACAAAAUAAAGAAUAUUUUCUUGCCAACGUAGAAGUCUUGAAAGAUCAUUCUAAGUGUAAAUCUUGUAGGCCUGGACUCAUCACCAUCUUAAUUCAGCUCUGUCUUAUUACCACUUCAGUAGCACACAGGUAUCUGUUUAUUAGAUGCCAAUUGUUUAGAAAUUCUUUUUAUAUGUGGUAAACCUCAUACUGAAAUGUUCAUUUCACAGCAAUCAGGAAAUACCUUUAAAAUGUUUUAUGAGCUCUUUUGAAUUUCAGUGGAAGACUUACUUGUUUUACCUGAUCUACAAAAAUUUUGAUGACUCAUGAGCUUUCUUUGACAAGUUUGUCUGUGUGGACUGCAGAGACAGAUUCUCAACAGUAUCCCCCAAAUAGAGAAAGGUGUAACAAAAUAAAGUUAUUAAUUAUAUGUUCUCAAUUUAGAUAUCCAAAUAAAUAAUUUUAAUUUGUUGAUCACAGUAAAUAGCAAUGAUGUCCUUGGAAUAGUAAGUAUACCAGAGUUAACAAACCUACUGAAUCUGAAGUUCUGAACCAAAAAAUGUUACACUGCACUGUACAUCACCUUUCCAAUAAGUAAAGUACUCAGUAUCCAGGUAACUAUUACUUUUACUCUAUUUUGUCAAGAACAGCACAAAUCUUCCACCAAAACACCACUAAUGUGAAAGAACUGACACACAGGUUGUAAACAUUUAUGUAGUGAUAUUUGCAUUGAAAAAGUUCUUAGUGAAAUAGAGAUGAAACUUGUAGAUGGCUAUACACACAUAAACUUUUUGGUGAAUUAGGUCUAGUGAACCAAUGGUUAUGUCUAGUUGAAAUCAAUUAUUAAAAUUCAGAUAACAGCUAUUCUUCUGUAGUUAGCAGGAAGAGAGAAAGAGAAAAAAAGGCUGCUCAUUCACAUAUCUGGGCCUAUGUAUCCUAAAUAUCCAUAAUCAGGCACUUCUGCAGUUGAUUCUCUUCUCACUGGCUAUAGAAGAAAUCUACGAGGGCUUCUAAAAAGUUAUGUCUGCUACUUUAUUAUAUUGGCCUACAAUAUCUGAGGUGGAUGUUGAUAGUAUAGCAGUAGAGGUUGAACCUUCCUGCCAGUAUUCCAUUAUGUUUUUUUUUUUUGCCAUGCAACAGAUGGCAGCAGAGGGAAGGUCUGACAGAAUGCUGUUUGACAUGGGAGCAUGCAUGAAAUGUGGAAUUCCUCCAUGUGGGAAAAAUUGCACCCACUGAUAUUCAUUGACACUUGCUGAACAUAUAUGGAGACCAAACAGUGGAUGUGAACACAGUGAAGUGAUGUGUGGUGUUUCAGCAGUAGCAACAGUGAUGUGAAAGACAAGCCAUAUUCCAGAUGGCCAUGAAGAUUUUUAUGAGCACAACAUUCAGGCCUUUGUUCAUUGCUAGUGAUGAAUAUGUACAAAAAUAGUAUCCUGUAGCUGAGAAUUUUGUCUGUCAGUGUUAUUGUACUCUUUGUGUCUGUUAUAGUUUCCAUGGAAAUAAAUAGGAGGCAUUACUUUUGGAACUACCAACAGAGAUAACCAGCUAUAAGCCAAAUUUCUAACUUUCAAAUGACUAAAUUUAGGUUAGAUGUAGUCCAUGCAUAACUGUAUUUUCUUAUUCUAUGAAGAAUGUAAGAAUGGCUACAGUAGUUUAUAUCCUAAGUCUCAACUGAUGGCUAGUAUUGCUUGUCUAGAAAAGAGUUUAUGAUAAGGGAAAUAAUAUGUCCGCAUUGUUCCCUAUAUGUUUGCAUUCUUCAGUCAUCUGACACUAAGCAUGAUACUCAGUUUGAGAUUUGGUCUUCAUAUCACAUUCAAAUAGGAAAUGCUGAGUGAUUUAAUGUAACUAAUGCAAUCUAAUCUGUAGCCAUUAGACAAAAAUAACAAUUAGACGUGCCACUUUUCUGCAUGGAUAUUACAAAUUUAAGGCCAUCCCUUAUAAAUGAAAAAUGCUACUUCAGAGUGUUUACUGAAAACAUGAGGGCAUUUUUACCACAAGAAAACUACACAGUGAUUGUUAUCUCCAUGUAAAAUCCUAACAGGCAUAAGGUAGAGCUAGUUUUAACCUCAGAGCACUGAGAUAAACCUGAAGAAGUAAAUACAAAGCUGACCUUCACUGACCAUAUCAAGGCAUAGAUAUAGAUAGCUAUUACAUUGUUUGAGAUAUUCUCUUUUUUGUUUUAUUUAUAAUAAAAUACUUCUGUCCUUUAUUUCUCCUUACUUCAGUGAUAUAAUAUGGAUGCUUUUCCAGUUCAGAGGUGAAGUUUUUUUCUCUGCAAAAGUAACUCUAAUCCCAGUUUUGUCCACUUCUGUGUCUGCAUUUCUUUAACUGGUCACUGAAUCACAAAAUCACAGAAUUGCAGAAAUUGAAAGAGACCUCAAGAGAUCAUCGAGUCCAGCCUGCCCCUGCUAAAGCAGGUACCCUACAAGAGGUCACACAGGUUGCUGAUGAUGUUGAACAAGACCAGACCCAGCACUGACACCUGGGAAGCACCGGUAAUUAAAGGCCUCAAGCCAGAUUCUGUGCUGCUGAUGACAACCCUGUGAGCUCUGACAGUGAAACAGUUCUCAAUCCAGCUCACUGUCCACUCAUCUGUGCCACAUUCUCUACAUUUCAUAACCGGGAUGUUGUGGGAGACGGUGUCAAAUGCCCUACUGAAGUCACGGUACACAACAUCCACUGCUCUCCCUCCAUGUACCCAGACAGUGGUGACAUCAUAGAAGGAUAUCAGAGUUACAGAAUCACAGAACCGCAGGAGUUGGAAGGGAACCCGGGAGAUCAUCAAGAUCAACUCCACUGCUAAAGCAGGUUCCCUACAGUGCACAGGAAAGCAUUCAGGAGACUUUUAACAGUGCUAAGUGCUGAAGUCCAUUGAAGCCUCCAAAGGGAAGUGGCUUUG